GGGCGCGCUGCCGAGUGGGAUCGGAAGCAGGCCGUAACCCUGUUGUCCUUGGCGACUAGGGGGUUCGAUUCCUCACGCGCCCGCCA
rnacentral:tRNA from 1 species